UGUCCUGUGCCUUAGUCGGUUGAAGCGCCGAACUAGCAAUACCAAGUCGUGGGUGCGAAUCCCACCAAAACAA
rnacentral:tRNA from 1 species